rnacentral:rRNA from 1 species
AUCUAUGGCCAUGCCACCCUGAAUGCGCCCGAUCCCGUCUGAUCUCGGAAGCUAAGCAGGGUUGGGCCUAGUUAGUACUUGGAUGGGAGACCACCUAGGAAUACCAGGCACUGUAGGCG